GACAAACGCUGGCGGCGUGCCUAACACAUGCAAGUCGUACGAGAAAGGGUCCUUCGGGGCCUGAGUAAAGUGGCGCACGGGUGAGUAACGCGUGGAUAAUCUGCCCUUCAGUUGGGAAUAACUCAUCGAAAGGUGGGCUAAUACCGAAUAAUGCUGUGAGACCUCGGUUGAUCAGCCAAAGAGAGCCUCUGCUUGCAAGCCCUCGCUGAAGGAUGAGUCCGCGUACCAUUAGCUAGUUGGUAGGGUAAUGGCCUACCAAGGCGACGAUGGUUGGCGGGUCUGAGAGGAUGAUCAGCCACACGGGAACUGAGACACGGUCCAGACUCCUACGGGAGGCAGCAGUGAGGAAUCUUGCGCAAUGGGGGCAACCCUGACGCAGCAACGCCGCGUGAGUGAGGAAGGUCUUCGGAUCGUAAAGCUCUGUCGGAUGGAAAGAACCGCAUAGGGGUAAACAGCCCCUGUGUCUGACGGUACCAUCAAAGGAAGCACCGGCUAACUCCGUGCCAGCCGCCGCCGUAACAC
rnacentral:rRNA from 1 species